rnacentral:rRNA from 1 species
GGCAGACGGGUGAGUAACACGUGAACAACCUACCCUCGAGUGGGGAAUAACACCGCGAAAGCGGUGCUAAUACCGCAUAUAUCUCUUAAUCUCAUGGUUUUGAGAUCAAAAGCGCAAGUUGCUUGAGGAGGGGUUCGCGCCUGAUUAGCUUGUUGGUGAGGUAACGGCUCACCAAGGCAACGAUCAGUAGCCGGCCUGAGAGGGCGUACGGCCACACUGGAACUGAGACACGGUCCAGACUCCUACGGGAGGCAGCAGUGGGGAAUUUGCGCAAUGGGCGAAAGCCUGACGCAGCAACGCCGCGUGGAGGAUGAAGGCCCUCGGGUCGUAAACUCCUGUCAGUGGGGACGAAUGCUUCGUAAGAAGUUUGACUGUACCCAUUGAGGAAGCCACGGCUAACUCCGUGCCAGCAGCCGCGGUAAUACGGAGGUGGCAAGCGUUGUUCGGAAUUACUGGGCGUAAAGGGCGCGUAGGCGGUUUGACAAGUCAGAUGUGAAAUCCCCGAGCUUAACUUGGGAAUUGCAUCUGAAACUGUUGAACUUGAGUCCUGGAGGGGGUAGUGGAAUUCCCAGUGUAGCGGUGAAAUGCGUAGAUAUUGGGAGGAACACCUGCGGCGAAGGCGGCUACCUGGACAGUGACUGACGCUGAGGCGCGAAAGCUAGGGGAGCGAACGGGAUUAGAUACCCCGGUAGUCCUAGCCGUAAACGAUG